rnacentral:lncRNA from 1 species
GUUUCAGGACAAUUCCGGCUUCUAAUUUACGUCCAUUGAUACCUAUUGUAUCAAUGACACUUUUGAAGGUUUUUAAAAAUAAUAAUAGUUCACUGACUGCCGUCCUCAGGCCAUCUCCCGGGCAUGCAUGUGCUCAAGUCAGGAGCCAGAUUCUUACAUGCAUCCCUGAAUCCACGCCGCAGCCCUGUGGGCCGGGCCUGCCGUCACCCUUCACAGUGGAAGCAGCCGCAGCCGGCAGACACCACGGGGCUUGCAGCUCACAGCCAUAUUCCACUGUCCAUAGGACAAGUACAGCUUGAACCCACAUCCCACCUUUCACCACCCCAAGCCUUGCCUCCUACGGACGAAGAUAGUGCACGGGAGUGCCUUGGGGCUCCCCCAGGAGCUGCUUCAGGAAAAGGAGGAGCUGGCAGGAUCACUGUGAGCCUCUCAGCCCCACUCCACCGGCUGCUCCCCUUCAUCCACAUCCAGUUAGCAUCUCCUGCCCAUGCAGCUCUCUGGACAUGAGCCCACCUCACUCAGGACCACAGCUCUGAGGCUCCUUCCACAGCUGGUGUUUUAAAACCCUGAGGUCUCCUUUGAGAAAGAAGUGUUAUGUGGCCAGAGGUCCUCUGUGUAAAGCCCUCAGCACCUGGCUGGGGUUAGUGGACAACCAGGACAAGGCACUUCCAAGCUGGCAGAGAAAGCCUGAGAGCAGCCCUGGGGAGUGGGCUGGAAGGGUCAGGAGAACCCAGCCAUCUUGCUCUGUACGGAUUCUAAUGGCUUGUGUUUAUUUCUCUGUCAGCUCAAGGGCUGCCCUUCUUAAGACGAUCACAAUGAAAGGCUCAAAGGUGCUCUGCUCUCAGCUUAAAUGGCAGGUUGGUUUUGGACCCAGAGGGGCUCAGAGGCUCCCUCCUGUGUUGCAUGGCCUGUAUCACCCUCACUGGGGGUGCUGUGCACAGUUUUCGUUAUACUGUAACUUAUGCCCAGGUCUUGACUCCUUCUUAUUUGCAGAAUAAAGGCCACUUUCAGUCGAGAUUGUACGUACACAUUUUCCUUGAUCCACUAAUGAAUGUCUGAUAGUUUUUAUAACAUGAACCCAUAAUAACCCUAAAAUAUCCAUUAAUCAUUAUGUAUAUUAUUCAUUUUUGAUUACCCUACUAUAUGAGGAACCUAUUGGAAAAUACCUUUAGGGUAGAAAUAAGAAAAAGCAUCAAUGCCAGCUCUUCUGAGUUUUUUAAUUGUAGCAGUUAUUAGGCCAAUUCACAGUUUCUCUGUAUUUUUGCUUUA